AUCAUCUCCAGGCAACCAUUAAAAAAACACCACAAAGAUAUGUAGAGAGAGUUUGCACGUGUUUUCACUUGUUGACUUGGGGAGGAGGAGGAGGGAAGGCACAAACUAUUUUACAUGAAGAGGCUCUAAAGAUGUAGUACAGUGGAGAGGGAAAUGGGAGGGUAAGCAUUGAGCAUACUUGAGUCUCUCAAUAGUAUUGACUCAAGGAAUAAUAUACAUCUUACCUUUCAGGGAAGUAAGAAGGGAAGAGAUUAAAGCAGGAUGGGGAAAUGGGGAAGUCUUCAUAUGCUUGGGGUAGACACCUCCAUUUCACAAAUGGGUAUGGGGCCUAUAAGUUACUCUCAGCCUGGUUUAGCCCAUAUGCUGAUAUGUUUUCUGGGCUGUGACCACUGCAAGCCAGCUUCUUGAAGCCACAGGUGAGAAUUGGAUGAAAGGUAGGCACCAAAAGUCAAUGAAUAACUCUGAAAAGGGCUCUGCAAGUCAUCACAACAGAGAUGCUCUUUCUGCUUGAACAUCCCUAACUCCUUGAGGAUGGUCACAUGAUUCCUUAGAACAUCCAAGACUGCAGUUUGGUCCCUGUUGACUCCAAGAGGUGUAUGAUCAACAGUUUAGAAGAUGAAAGAUGGAUAACAUCUCACUUUUUUUUUCUGUAAUAACCAAUCAUUGCUUUGUUUCUAGCACAACACAGCUCUUCAUGAAACUAUUGGUACUCUAACUGUAUUGGUCUGCAACUAGAGAAAUGGGAGCUUAUAAAUGCUGACAUUAUCACAAAAAUGAACCAGUAGAGAUAAUGAAUUUGUGCCCAAAUGGAUGGUGAUACAUAGACAGCUCUCAACUCAGGGUUCCACUGUUUACCCCGAAGCAUCAGUAAACAUCAUUUUGCGGCAGCCUUAGCCUUCAGUACUGAUAGAAUAUAUGAUGUAUGCCAAGUAAAAAAAAAAAAAAAA